rnacentral:rRNA from 1 species
ACGCUCGACACCUACGGGAGCAGCAGUGGGAAUAUUGCACAAUGGGGGAAACCCUGAUGCAGCGACGCCGCGUGAGCGAAGAAGUAUUUCGGUAUGUAAAGCUCUAUCAGCAGGGAAGAAAAUGACGGUACCUGACUAAGAAGCCCCGGCUAACUACGUGUCAGCAGCCGCGGUAAUCUGAGCGGCUGGCAAGGC